rnacentral:pre_miRNA from 1 species
AGAGGAAUAGCUGGGUCAAAUGGUGGUUCCAUUCCCAAUUUUCCAUGGAAUCUCCAUACUGCUUUCCAUAUUGGCUGCACCAAUUUGCAGUCCCACUGGCAGU